UUUCUGUAGGUGAACCUGCAGAAGGAUCAUUAGUGAAGAUUUGGGCAGGCCAUACGGACGCCAAAAAAGUGUCCCUGGCCGCCUACACCCACUAUACAUCCACAAACCCGUGUGCACUGUCUUGGAGAAAGGCUUCUUGAGAAGUUAUGUGACCUCUCUUGGAGGUCUUUCUUCGCUACAAACUCGAAUGGUUAGUAUGAACGUGGAACUUGGUUGGACCGUCACUGGCCAACAAACUAUACACAACUUUCGACAACGGAUCUCUUGGUUCUACCAUCGAUGAAGAACGCAGC
rnacentral:misc_RNA from 1 species